rnacentral:rRNA from 1 species
AGAGUUUGAUCCUGGCUCAGAGCGAACGCUGGCGGCAGGCUUAACACAUGCAAGUCGAGCGCUCGUAGCAAUACGAGAGCGGCAGACGGGAGAGUAACACGUGGGAACGUACCCUUCGGUUCGGAAUAACCCAGGGAAACUUGGGCUAAUACCGGAUACGUCCGUAAGGAGAAAGAUUUAUCGCCGAAGGAUCGGCCCGCGUCCGAUUAGCUAGUUGGUGAGGUAAUGGCUCACCAAGGCGACGAUCGGUAGCUGGUCUGAGAGGAUGAUCAGCCUCACUGGGACUGAGACACGGCCCAGACUCCUACGGGAGGCAGCAGUGGGGAAUAUUGGACAAUGGGCGCAAGCCUGAUCCAGCCAUGCCGCGUGGGUGAUGAAGGCCUUAGGGUUGUAAAGCCCUUUCGGCGGGGAAGAUAAUGACGGUACCCGCAGAAGAAGCCC